rnacentral:rRNA from 1 species
GAUGAACGCUAGCGGCAGGUUUAAUACAUGCAAGUCGAGGGGCAGCAUGGUGUAGCAAUACACUGAUGGCGACCGGCAAACGGGUGCGGAACACGUACAGAACCUUCCUUCGAGCGGGGAAUAGCCCAGAGAAAUUUGGAUUAAUACCCCAUAGUACAUUGAGGCGGCAUCGUUUUAAUGUUAAAGAUUUAUCACUUGAAGAUGGCUGUGCGGCUGAUUAGGUAGUUGGCGGGGUAACGGCCCACCAAGCCUGCGAUCAGUAACUGGUGUGAGAGCACGACCAGUCACACGGGCACUGAGACACGGGCCCGACUCCUACGGGAGGCAGCAGUAAGGAAUAUUGGUCAAUGGACGAAAGUCUGAACCAGCCAUGCCGCGUGGAGGA